rnacentral:tRNA from 1 species
GGUGAGGUGGCUGAGAGGCUGAAGGCGCUCCCCUGCUAAGGGAGUAUGCGGUCAAAAGCUGCAUCCGGGGUUCGAAUCCCCGCCUCACCGCCA